GACGAACGCUGGCGGCGUGCUUAACACAUGCAAGUCGAACGAAGUGGCGCACGGGUGAGUAACGCGUGAUCCACCUUCCCUUCAGAGGGGGACAACAGUUGGAAACGACUGCUAAUACCGCAUACUUAAGGAGGGGGUUGCGUCGGAUUAGCUAGGUGGCGGGGUAACGGCCCACCAAGGCGAUGAUCAGUAGCCGGUCUGAGAGGAUGAACGGCCACAUUGGGACUGAGAAACGGCCCAGACUCCUACGGGAGGCAGCAGUGGGGAAGCUUCCGAAAUGGACGAAAGUCUGACGGAGCAACGCCGCGUGAGUGAUGACGGCCGUCGGGUUGUAAAGCUCUGUUAAUCGGGACGCGGUACCGGAAUAGAAAGCCACGGCUAACUACGUGCCAGCAGCCGCGGUAAUUC
rnacentral:rRNA from 1 species